rnacentral:rRNA from 1 species
GGCNGGCCUAACACAUGCAAGUCGAGCGGUAACAGAGAGUAGCUUGCUACUCUGCUGACGAGCGGCGGACGGGUGAGUAAUGCUUGGGAAUAUGCCUUAUGGUGGGGGACAACAGUUGGAAACGACUGCUAAUACCGCAUGAUGUCUACGGACCAAAGUGGGGGACCUUCGGGCCUCACGCCAUAAGAUUAGCCCAAGUGGGAUUAGCUAGUUGGUGAGGUAAUGGCUCACCAAGGCGACGAUCCCUAGCUGGUUUGAGAGGAUGAUCAGCCACACUGGGACUGAGACACGGCCCAGACUCCUACGGGAGGCAGCAGUGGGGAAUAUUGCACAAUGGGCGCAAGCCUGAUGCAGCCAUGCCGCGUGUGUGAAGAAGGCCUUCGGGUUGUAAAGCACUUUCAGUAAGGAGGAAAGGUUAAGUGUUAAUAGCACUUAGCUGUGACGUUACUUACAGAANAAGCACCGGCUAACUCCGUGCCAGCAGCCCGCGGGUAAUACCGGAGGGUUGCCAA